GGGCGUAUAGCUCAGGUGGUUAGAGCGCACGCCUGAUAAGCGUGAGGUCGGUGGUUCGAGCCCACCUAUGCCCACCA
rnacentral:tRNA from 1 species